rnacentral:rRNA from 1 species
UACGGGGGGGGUAAGCGUUGUUCGGAAUUACUGGGCGUAAAGGGCUCGUAGGCGGCCAACUAAGUCAGACGUGAAAUCCCUCAGCUUAACUGGGGAACUGCGUCUGAUACUGGAUGGCUUGGAUUCGGGAGAGGAAUGCGGAAUUCCAGGUGUAGCGGUGAAAUGCGUAGAUAUCUGGAGGAACACCAGCGGCGAAGGCGGCGCUCUGGGCCGGUACUGACACUGAGGAGCGAAAGCGUGGGUAGCAAACAGG